GCCAGAGUCAUAUCUCCCUACAGCUCUUGCCUGGUUUCCCACUGAAAUUCUAAGCAGGGUUGAGUAUGGCCAGUACCUGGAUGGGAGACCUCCUAGGGGAAACUAAGGUUGCUGCUGGAC
rnacentral:rRNA from 1 species